rnacentral:rRNA from 1 species
GGCGGACGGGUGAGUAAUGCCUAGGAAACUGCCUGGUAGUGGGGGACAACGUUUCGAAAGGAACGCUAAUACCGCAUACGUCCUACGGGAGAAAGCGGGGGAUCUUCGGACCUCGCGCUAUCAGAUGAGCCUAGGUCGGAUUAGCUAGUUGGUGAGGAAAGGCUCACCAAGGCGAAGAUCCGUAACUGGUCUGAGAGGAUGAUCAGUCACACUGGAACUGAGACACGGUCCAGACUCCUACGGGAGGCAGCAGUGGGGAAUAUUGGACAAUGGGCGAAAGCCUGAUCCAGCCAUGCCGCGUAUGUGAAGAAGGUCUUCGGAUUGUAAAGCACUUUAAGUUGGAGGAAGGGCAGUAAGUUAAUACCUUGCUGUUUUGACGUUACCAACAGAAUAAGCACCGGCUAACUUCGUGCAAGCAGCCGCGGUAAUACGAAGGGUGCAAGCGUUAAUCCGGAAUUACUGGGCGUAAAGCGCGCGUAGGUGGUUCGUUAAGUUGGAUGUGAAAGCCCCGGGCUCAACCUGGGACUGCAUCCAAAACUGGGGAGCUAGAGUAUGGCAGAGGGUGGUGGAAUUUCCUGUGUAGCGGUGUAAUGCGUAGAUAUAGGAAGGAACACCAGUGGCGAAGGCGACCAC